GCACAUUCCUCGCAUUCUAGGAUUGAGAUACACAGUUUGGUUCUUGUGAGGGCAGCCAGGGCUGGGGAGGAGGGCAGAGAACAUCCCAGAGAUCAAGACUGCUCUUCUUGCUCCCUCCCCGACUGACUUGGCCCACACUGACUGGCCUGCCACCCCUUUACAGUGAUCUCCACCCAGUCUCUCUCUGCAAAGGCCUCCCUUGGCUCUCUGAUAAAGUUGGAGCUGUGGGUGCAGCAUUUCACUUGGACCUAGCAGCAUCAAUGAGCCAGCUCCUCACUGGGGAACAUGCAAACCCCCAGCUGCUGGUGUGCAGGAAAAGAAUCCAGGAGAUCACCUGAUGAAGCCCAGCAUUUUACAGAUAGGCAGUGGAGCAGGGGAAUCCAGUUGACACUGUGGCUAAAUUUCAGAAAACCUCCCAUGAGAUCUUGCAAAGGAGAUGGAGAAAAUAUGGCUGAAUGCCAGCAAGAGCAAAGUGGUGAAAGGACCCUGGUGAGAGGCCCAAAGAACAGGAGGUGUGAGCCAAGAGAAGGUCCUGCCAGGCCUAUGUUGCAGGCUAUUUGGAGGCUGAACUUGAGGUUGACGCAGAAUUAACUGUUGCAUGAGAUGUGGGGUAUGAGAGAAGGCCUGAGUACCUAGAAGGAUUGGGAUGCCAUGAACUGACAGAGGUUGUGUAAUAGUGUGAUAUAAUAAGAAAUACAUGGUGGGCAUGGUGGCUCAAGCCUGUAAUCCCAGCACCUUGGCCACCACUGCAGGACC
rnacentral:lncRNA from 1 species